GACGAACGCUGGCGGCGUGCUUAACACAUGCAAGUCGAACGAAGUGGCGAACGGGUGAGUAAUACGUGAGUAACCUGCCCUCCUUUUUGGGAUAAGCCUUGGAAACGGGGUCUAAUACCGAAUAAAGGGGGAUGGGCGCGCGGCCUAUCAGCUUGUUGGUGGGGUGAUGGGCUACCAAGGCGGUGACGGGUAGCCGGCCUGAGAGGGGGACCGGCCACAUUGGGAAUGAUGUAGGUCCCAGACGCGUACGGGAGGGAGCAGUGGGGGAUAUUGCACAAUGGGCUGAAUCCUGAUGCAGCGGCGCCGCGUGGGAGAUGAAGGAUUGCGGGUUGUAAACCUCUGUCGCUAUCGAAGGGGUAGGUGGAGAAGAAGCGCCGGCUAACUACGUGCCAGCAGCCGCGGUAAUAC
rnacentral:rRNA from 1 species